AUUUUACAUCUUUGAAAUAGCGAGAAUUUACAAUGACAUCAGGUUUUCUGUGCUUCACUAUUUUUGCAUGUGGAGAGAAUGUUGGAGGAGCCAUUUUUAUGCCCCGGUAAUUUUCAUGUAAACCUAAUGGUAACUGGAGUACCACAUAGGUGAUAACUCAUUUAGCCUAAGUCUGAUAACUUUUCAUCCGAAAAAAAGUCAUCGAAACAUACCAACAUGGGAUCUAGUUUUGGAGGUCUCGUCGCGACGAAUCUUUUAUGUGAAAACGGUUUUUCAAUCGGACCAAUGGUUUGAGCUACAAAACAUUUUGAAGUUUCAAAAUAUGAAGAAUCUUUGCUAACAUCAUCUGUU
rnacentral:rRNA from 1 species